rnacentral:rRNA from 1 species
AUGUGCGGGAAUCUGUCAUCUAUCUCUUCAAACUUCUGGUGGGGUGAAGUGGAUGGUCGUAAGAAGGUACAUUGGAUUGGAUGGGAAAAAUUGUGUACCCGCAAGCAUGAGGGGGGCCUAGGCUUCCGGGAUCCGGAGGCUUUCAACCAAGCAAUGCUGGCCAAGGCGUCCUGGCGCCUGCUACGGACGCCGGACUCGUUGUGUGGAAGGGUACUGAAGGCACGGUAUUACCCGGACGGAUCAAUUCUGAAUGCUACGUGCCCCACUGGGGGUUCGUACACCUUCCGAAGCAUUUUACAUGGCCGAGAUCUGCUCAAUGACGGGUUGAUAUGGCGGAUCGGUGACGGCUCUAAAAUAUCUAUUCACCAUGACAACUGGAUUCCGAGGAAAGGCAGCCUGAGGCCACUGGGUCAAGUGUACAUCAACGACAUUACCCGGGUGGGGACCUACUCGAGGAUGAUGGUAUAUCAUGGGACAGAAACAAACUGCUGGAGAUGUUUGCUCCGGAUGAUGCGUAUGAGAUAUUACAAAUCCCGGUGGGAGGACAAGGUGUACAUGACUACUUGGCCUGGAACUACACAAAAAACGGCGUUUUCUCCGUCCGCUCGGCGUACCACCUACGGAUGA